rnacentral:RNase_P_RNA from 1 species
GGCUCUGGUCGAGCGGUCGCCCUAAGAUUUAUCAAACAUAGAUCUUGGGGAGGAAAGUCCGGACACUAGGGGACAAUCGGACCGAGUAACACUCGGGAUGCGAAAGGGUGACUGAUCGUAUACGGAAAGUGCAACAGAAAAAAUACCGCCAUGCAAAUGGUAAGGGCGAAAUGGUGGGGUAAGAGCCCACCGCUUAUUUUGUAAAAAAUAAGGCAAGGUAAACCCUCCGAUGUGCAAUCUCAAGUAAGCAACCGUUAUGAGCUGUCCCGCCAGGUUGUGGGUAGAGAGCAUCAGAUAGAUGAUCGCAUAAAACAGAAUCCGGCUUACGGGCCAGGGCCACUU